GGCUCCAGGUCUGGUCUGCUCCACUCUACAACGCUGAUGGAGGAAUUAGCCCGACAUGGUAGAAGGACAUCAUCUCCAGGGUCCACUACCUCCAUCAGGUCUGAAACCUGCAGAUC